GUGAGGAAUUUUCCGCAAUGGGCGAAAGCCUGACGGAGCAAUGCCGCGUGAAGGAUGAAGGCCUAUGGGUUGUAAACUUCUUUUCUUAGAGAAGAAUAUUGACGGUAUCUGAGGAAUAAGCAUCGGCUAACUCUGUGCCAGCAGCCGCGGUAAUACGAAGGGGGCUAGCGUUGUUCGGAAUUACUGGGCGUAAAGCGCACGUAGGCGGACAUUUAAGUCAGGGGUGAAAUCCCGGGGCUCAACCCCGGAACUGCCUUUGAUACUGGGUGUCUGGAGUAUGGAAGAGGUAAGUGGAAUUCCGAGUGUAGAGGUGAAAUUCGUAGAUAUUCGGAGGAACACCAGUGGCGAAGGCGGCUUACUGGUCCAUUACUGACGCUGAGGUGCGAAAGCGUGGGGAGCAAACAGGAUUAGAAACCCCGGUAGUCC
rnacentral:rRNA from 1 species